rnacentral:rRNA from 1 species
UACGUAGGGUGCAAGCGUUAAUCGGAAUUACUGGGCGUAAAGCGUGCGCAGGCGGUUUUGUAAGUUUGUCGUGAAAUCCCCGGGCUCAACCUGGGAAUUGCGAUGAAGACUGCAAGGCUAGAAUCUGGCAGAGGGGGGUAGAAUUCCACGUGUAGCAGUGAAAUGCGUAGAGAUGUGGAGGAACACCGAUGGCGCAGGCAGCCCCCUGGGUCAAGAUUGACGCUCAUGCACGAAAGCGUGGGGAGCAAACAGG